AAAGAAGGGCAAAACAAGUGGUUGAAUACAGUUGAAAUAUGCAAAAUAUUUGAAAACCAUGAAAAGCUUCAAAUACUUGCUUCUCAACCACAAUCAAGGUCUCCAAAAGUGGCUCCUUUUUCGUCAUUAAGCUGCAGAGGCUUUGAGAGUUUAGGAAGGAUGACCACACGUGGAGUAAAAAGGAAAAAAAAAUAGAUGCAAAGUCGAUCCGGGAAUUUAUUAAAAUUUCAAGGUUCUUGCAAUAAUUUGAAUUAACAACGAGUGAAAUUUUACAGGUUAACAUAGAUGAGAUGUUGAAUUGUUUGUAUGUUUAUUUAGAAGAUAAAACAUGUGGAUAUAAGAAGUUAC